rnacentral:RNase_P_RNA from 1 species
CGAGUUCACUAGACAGUCGCCGCUUCACUUGUGAAGGGGAGGAAAGUCCGGGCUCCAUAGGGCAAAGUGCCAGAUAACGUCUGGGCGGUGAGAGCCGACGGAAAGUGCAACAGAAAGUAUACCGCCUAAGUAGUCGUAAGAUUGCCGGUAAGGUUGAAAUGGUGCGGUAAGAGCGCACCGCGUGGGUGGCAACACUCCACGGCGAUGGUAAACCCCACUCGGAGCAAGACCAAAUAGGGACCUGUUAGGCGUGGCCCACGCUAGGUCCGGGUAGGUCGCUUGAGGCUAGGAGUGAUCCUAGUCCUAGAUGAAUGACUGUCCACGACAGAACCCGGCUUACCGGUGAGCUCAUCUA